rnacentral:other from 1 species
UUUCCCCUGCGGAGUGCGUCAGUAGGCCGAGAUAUCCUUGAGCCUAUUUACCACAACCUUGGGGACAAAACGGCGGUGUUGUUGAGCAUGUCCACCGCACAGUGGAAAGCCUGAUACGCUGCCUGUUGUUCCCACUUGAACCUUUGGUUCAAGAUGAAGGUCUGCAACGGCUCUGCGGGGGAAAC